AUGACUGACUACUGUCCUCUUCAUCCACAACAAUGGCGUUCAUCACCCUCUUCAUCUACUCUCUGCUCCUCUACAUCCAAGACUCCAGGGCACAGGUGACCGUUACUCAAACUCCAGCCAUAUCGACCAGUCCAGGGGGCACAGUCAGAAUUAGCUGUAAACGCAGUGGAAGUAUUUCCUCUGACUGUGGCACACCAUGCAUCUCCUGGUACCAACAGCAGUCUGGGGAGAAACCCAAACUCCUCAUCUACUCUGUGAGCAGCCUCCAGUCUGGUAUUCCAUCUCGGUUUAGUGGCAGUGGAUCUGGGAAUGACUACAGUCUGACCAUCAGUGGAGUCCAGAGUGAAGAUGCAGGAGAUUUUUACUGCAUGAGUCACCAUGUACCUACUGGUAUUACUGCACAGUUCACACAGUGAUACAGACUCGUACAAAAACCUCAACGUCUCUCAGUCAGUCAGGUGGCACAGUGAGUGUGAUCUACUGCUGCAGAUGGAGCCUCCUGCUGGUGGUGCACACCAGAGUGAAGUCAGAACCUAAUCAUGAUAUUUAACCUGAUCCUCUUCAGAAGAUAUGACCACACCAGACAAUAUAUUCUUAAAUAGUAGUUGAUUAUAUAGAUUGCUAUUAUAUAUAUUACAUAUUGCUUAUUGAUUGCCAUAUGCUAUUAGUGAUGAUGAAAGUAC